rnacentral:rRNA from 1 species
ACGACCUCAAAUCAGACGAGAUUACCCGCUGAAUUUAAGCAUAUCAAUAAGCGGAGGAAAAGAAACUAACUAGGAUGUCCUUAGUAGCAGCGAGCGAAUCGGACAGAGCUCAAAUUUAAAAUCUAGACUUUGCUUUCAAAGUCUCGAAUUGUAGUUUUUCGAUUGGGCAUCACUGCAUUGUCGUCAGGAUAUAAGUCAUUUGGAAUAAUGUAUUUCCAGAGAGGGUGAGAGUCCCGUAUAUAAUCUUGGCGUUCAUUGCGAUUAAUGUUGUCCUUUUGACGAGUCGGGUUGUUUGGGAUUGCAGCCCUAAUUAGGUGGUAGAUUUCAUCUAAAGCUAAAUAUCGCGGGGAGACCGAUAGCGAAGAAGUACUGUGAAGGAAAGGUGAAAAGAACUUUGAAAAGAGGGUUAAAAGUACUUGAAAUUGUUAAAAGGGAAGCGAAUGGAAUCAGUGUUCGUACUUGUGGUGAUUCAGCUUGUAGGGUGUUCAUGUAUAUGGAAUCCACGGAGAUCUAUUUUGAUCACGUCGGGCUAUAUCAUGAUAUCUCGACUGGUUCAUUUCACCUUUGUAUGGGUCAACAUGAGUUUCCUAGGCUGGAGAAGAGUUACAUGCGGAGGUAGGUAUAUACCCUCAUUAGAGGUGUUAUGUACUAUUAUAUCGCGUAACUGCAUACAGUCUGGGGGACUGAGGUAGAAAAUGUACGCCAUUUGGCAUGUUAUGAUUUUAACCUUUUUGUGUGUUCUGCGUGUUAUAACCGCUUGCGGUAUGCAUGGUUCAUAUAAUCAGCGAUUCUAUCAGCAAUUGUACAUUAGGGAUGUUGGCGAAAUGGUUUCAUUCGGCCCGUCUUGAAACACGGACCAAGGAGUCUAACAUGUAUGCGAGUAUUUGGGUGGCAAACCCAUAUGCGCAACGAAAGUGAGAGGUGGGAAGCAAAUUUAUUUUGUGGCACCAUCGACCUAUCCAUCUUUGUGAAGGAUUAGAGUUUUAGCACACAUGCUGGGACCCGAAAGAUUGUGAACUAUGCGUGCACAGGGUGAAGCCAGAGGAAACUCUGGUGGAGGCUCGUAGCGAUACUGACGUGCAAAUCGUUCGUCUGAUGUGCGUAUAGGGGCGAAAGACUAAUCGAACAAUCUAGUAGCUGGUUUCCUCCGAAAUUUCCCUCAGGAUAGCUGGAGCUCAUAUAACAGUUUUAUCAGGUAAAGCUAAUGAUUAGAGGUUCCGGGAUCGAAACGAUCUCGUCCUAUUCUCAAACUUUAAAUAGGUAAGAAGCCCCAUGUUGCUUAAUUGAACUGGGGAUUCGAAUGGAGAGCUCUUAGUGGGCCAUUUUUGGUAAGCAGAACUGGCGAUGCGGGAUGAACCGAAAGCGAGGUUAAAGUGCCUAAAUGUACCGCUAAUUUAGAUCCUACAAAAGGUGUUGGUUCAUCUAGACAGCAGGACGGUGGUCAUGGAAGUCGAAAUCCGCUAAGGAGUGUGUAACAACUCACCUGCCGAAUGAACUAGCCCUGAAAAUGGAUGGCGCUCAAGCGUGCUACUUAGACCUUGCCGUCAGGGUAAAUGCGAUGCUCUGGCGAGUAGGAGGACGUGGGGGUUGUGAAGAAGCUUACCCCGUGAGGGGGAGUGCAACAGCCUCUAGUGCAGAUCUUGGUGGUAGUAGCAAAUAUUCAAGUGAGAACCUUGAAGGCCGAAGUGGAGAAAGGUUUCACGAGAACAGCACUUGUUCGUGAGUUAGUCGAUCCUAAGGUGCAGGUUAACCCCGAUAAUGAUACGAUGCCGAGGAGCCCUAACAGGUGAUUCGCGUUAAAAGGUCGUAUCCAUUGCACCGAAAGGGAAUCAGGAUUAAUAUUCCUGAACCAUCCGUUGGAUAUUUUUACGGUAACGUAAGCGAGCAUGGAGACGUUUGUCGUUGUCCCGGGAAGAGUUCUCUUUUCUUUUUAACAAUCUUGACAUCCAUGGAAUCGUAUCGUAUGGAGAUAUGGUUGGAAGGUUGGUAAAGCACUUUGCUAUUCAAAGUGUCCGGUGCGCAACGAUAGACCCUUGAAAAUCCAUGUAAGAGAUAUAUUUUCAAUGAUGGUCGUACUCAUAACCGCAUCAGGUCUCCAAGGUGAAAAGCCUCUGGUCAAUAGAAUAAUGUAGAUAAGGGAAGUCGGCAAAAUAGAUCCGUAACUUUGGGAUAAGGAUUGGCUCUAAAGAUCGGGUUCGGAGGGUCUGCAUCAUAUAUUCGUGAAACAGGAUCAUGUGCUACACGCAUCUGCCCACCUUCGGGGAGCGGCGGAAGCGACGUCGGCCUGUGAAUGUAUCUAGAGGAAAGAUGUAUGACGCAGUGAUUCACUACUCUACCGAGUAGGAAGAAUCCUGCUUCCUCCGUUCGACUAACGAUCAAUUUAGAACUGGUACGGACAAGGGGAAUCCGACUGUUUAAUUAAAACAAAGCAUUGCGAUGGCCUUAGCAGGUGUUGACGCAAUGUGAUUUCUGCCCAGUGCUCUGAAUGUCAAAGUGAAGA